rnacentral:rRNA from 1 species
CAGCAGCCACGGUAAUACGAAGGGUGCAAGCGUUACUCGGAAUUACUGGGCGUAAAGCGUGCGUAGGUGGUGGUUUAAGUCCGUUGUGAAAGCCCUGGGCUCAACCUGGGAAUUGCAGUGGAUACUGGGUCACUAGAGUGUGGUAGAGGAUAGUGGAAUUUCCGGUGUAGCAGUGAAAUGCGUAGAGAUCGGAAGGAACAUCUGUGGCGAAGGCGACUAUCUGGGCCAACACUGACACUGAGGCACGAAAGCGUGGGGAGCAAACAGGAUUAGAGACCCGCGUAGUCCCUGUCUCUUAUAA